GAGAGUAUAGCUUAGUGGUAGAGUGCGCGCUUAUCAUACAUGAGGUCCUGGGCUCAAUCCCCAGUACCACCA
rnacentral:tRNA from 1 species